rnacentral:sRNA from 1 species
GAUGUUUGUUGAAUCAUGCAAGCGUUUACGCAUCAUGAAAGGAAAGGAGGCUAUUGGUCUUGGUCUUGCACCAAGAGCCAUGGCAAAAAGCAAGAACAGGAGCUAGACUAGUGGGACAUUGAUGACCUGGUCCAUCCUUUGUAAUUGUGAUG